CAACCGGCUUUUUUCAAAGCCAUCCCAAUGAUACUGGAAGGAAGAG
rfam:Amphimedon queenslandica AMPQTscaffold_13242_Cont5762, whole genome shotgun sequence.